rnacentral:rRNA from 1 species
AAUCAACGCUGGCGGCGUGCCUCAGACAUGCAAGUCGAACGAUUAAAGCUCUCUUCGGAGAGUGUAUAGAGUGGCGCACGGGUGAGUAACACGUAAGUAAUCUACCUUCGAGUGGGGAAUAACAGUCGGAAACGACUGCUAAUACCGCAUAAUGCAGCGGCAUCGCAAGAUGACAGUUGUUAAAGGAGUAAUUCGCUUGAAGAGGAGCUUGCGGCAGAUUAGCUUGUUGGUAAGGUAAUGGCUUACCAAGGCUACGAUCUGUAACCGGUCUAAGAGGACGGUCGGUCACACUGACACUGAAUAACGGGUCAGACUCCUACGGGAGGCAGCAGUCGGGAAUUUUGGGCAAUGGGCGAAAGCCUGACCCAGCAACGCCGCGUGAAGGAUGAAGUAUUUCGGUAUGUAAACUUCGAAAGAAUAGGAAGAAUAAAUGACGGUACUAUUUAUAAGGUCCGGCUAACUACGUGCCAGCCGCCGCCGUAAG